CGGGGUGUAGCUCAGUAUGGUUAGAGUACUUGGUUUGGGANNCUUGGUUUGGGACCAAGGGGCCGAAGGUUCGAGUCCUUUCACCCCGACCA
rnacentral:tRNA from 1 species